UACAUAGGGUGCAAGCGUUAAUCGGAUUUACUGGGCGUAAAGCGCGCGUAGGCGGCUUUUUAAGUCAAAUGUGAAAUCCCCGAGCUUAACUUGGGAAUUGCAUUCGAUACUGGUUAGCUAGAGUGUGGGAGAGGAUGGUAGAAUUCCAGGUGUAGCGGUGAAAUGCGUAGAGAUCUGGAGGAAUACCGAUGGCGAAGGCAGCCAGCUGGGGUAACACUGACGCUGAGGUGCGAAAGCAUGGGGAGCAAACAGG
rnacentral:rRNA from 1 species